ACGGCGUGAGAAACAGGAGGGAAAUCAAAUUUCGUUUUAAAAUGUAAACGCACAAAAAAUAAAACCAAUUUCAACAGGUACCGCUUUGUUCGCCAUUCACUGUCUCUGGUUUCUACCCUCUUCCCUUCCUGCGCCAAACUCACACGACACCAACAUUCGCCUAUCGAUUAGAUUAACCACGAUGAGGCGUUUUGGUCGGUGAAGUGCGCGUGGCGACGGUGUUCCCAAGCCAGGCAUGGCAAAAGUGGCAAAA